UGCCUUUAUCUAUUAUUUUUUACGUCGUUGCUUUUGGGGAAUCACCGAAAUUUAGCAGGACGCUCGUAUUCGUUGGCGCUGAGAAAACCGGGGAAUUACCGAUUAGCUUUUGCAGGUGUUCUGUUGUUAUUUUGUGAUUUACUUGCCUUGUGCCGGAAAUAUUUGUGUUUAGUGCUUAUUUAAGUGUGUUUAAAUAAAUUAAUUAUUGUUAAUUAUAUUUUCUGUGUUUUAUGAUAAUAAAUUAUUUGCUACCUACUGUAGUGACAUUAGUGACAAAAACUGAAUGUUUAUAAUGUCUUCGAAUUCGAGUUCUUGUUCUUCGCGGGAAUCACGGGGAAGGAAAAGUUGCAAAGUAAGUUCCCUGUUUAAAAUGCUAAAAACACAGAAAAAAAACUCCUCAAGUAUAGUGUACUUUUUGUACACUUCAACUAUCAAAAAAUGGGACACGUUUGUUGGAACAUAUUAAAAAAUGCCUAAAAUGUCCAGAGGAAGUUAAAAUAAAGUAUGGAGUGACGGAGAGAAAACAACGAAACAUUGGACUAUUACAAACAAUACAUGAAAAAAGGGAGGAAAAAGUUAAAGAAAAACCGAAAUCACAAUCUAAAGAGGUGUCCGCAUUCAUGGAUAAAAUGACACCUGAACAAAAAGUAAAAG